AUGAUAGCCCUGGAGAACAAAGUCCUCUGUUUAGCCAUAGAACAGGUAUAGCAUGGGCACUGGCACUACAACGUUCUCCACAUAGCCAGGCAAAUGUGAUUCUCUCCUAGCAUAAAGCGACGACCUCUGGGGUGCAGAGUCAGGCUGCCUCUGUGCCUUUACAAUCCCGGCCUCU
rnacentral:sRNA from 1 species